ACGGGUGCGUAACGCGUGGGAAUCUGCCCUCUGGUUCGGAAUAACUCAGGGAAACUUGAGCUAAUACCGGAUAAUGUCUUCGGACCAAAGAUUUAUCGCCUGAGGAUGAGCCCGCGUCGGAUUAGCUAGUUGGUGGGGUAAAAGCCUACCAAGGCGACGAUCCGUAGCUGGUCUGAGAGGAUGAUCAGCCACACUGGGACUGAGACACGGCCCAGACUCCUACGGGAGGCAGCAGUAGGGAAUAUUGGACAAUGGGCGAAAGCCUGAUCCAGCAAUGCCGCGUGAGUGAUGAAGGCCUUAGGGUUGUAAAGCUCUUUUACCCGGGAUGAUAAUGACAGUACCGGGAGAAUAAGCCCCGGCUAACUCCGUGCCAGCAGCCGCGGUAAUACGGAGGGGGCUAGCGUUGUUCGGAAUUACUGGGCGUAAAGCGCACGUAGGCGGCUUUGCAAGUCAGAGGUGAAAGCCCGGGGCUCAACCCCGGAAUUGCCUUUGAGACUGCAUCGCUAGAAUUGUGGAGAGGUAAGUGGAAUUCCGAGUGUAGAGGUGAAAUUCGUAGA
rnacentral:rRNA from 1 species